ACUGGCAGCGGAGAUUCGGUCAAAGCAGCUUUAACCUAGUGGCGGACGGGUGAGUAACGCGUGGGGAACCUGCCCUGUACUGGGGGAUAACAGUGAGAAAUCACUGCUAAUACCGCAUAAGCGCACAGCAUCGCAUGAUGCAGUGUGAAAAACUGAGGUGGUACAGGAUGGCUCCGCGUUGGAUUAGCCAGUUGCGGGUAACGGCCCACCAAAGCGACGAUCCAUAGCCGGCCUGAGAGGGUGAACGGCCACAUUGGGACUGAGACACGGCCCAGACUCCUACGGGAGGCAGCAGUGGGGAAUAUUGCACAAUGGGGGAAACCCUGAUGCCAGCGACGCCGCGUGAAGGAAGAAGUAUCUCGGUAUGUAAACUUCUAUCAGCAGGGAAGAUGAUGACGGUACCUGACUAAGAAGCCCCGGCUAACUACGUGCCAGCCGCGGC
rnacentral:rRNA from 1 species